UGAAAGCUCCCAUUCUCCCUACUUUCUUUCAUUCCUUGAUCUUCUUUCUCACAUAAAACACUCUUUUGCCUACUCCUUUCUUUUAUUUUUUUAUUUAUUUAUUAUGAGACAAUGAAAACAAAAAUUAAGUGUUGGUAAAAAUUGAAAUUCAAUCAUGAGUUAUGGUGGAGUUUUAAAUCUAGUCUAUAUGGUGAGACAAUUUCGUUUUCAUCUCUUAUUAAUCUACAAGAAAAAUCAUGAUCUGAGCAAAUUUUCGAAAACCACCGCACCAGAAAGUUUAUGACAAUAGUUGGACUCUUCUACAUUUUUUUUCAUCUCAUGACAAUUGGACCAUUCCCGCCUUCGGCCCAAUACACUUCAGAACACGUGUGGCAGUCUCCAUCCAAGCAGAUCGGGCAAACUAGGCCAAGCAACUGACCACGAGGGCCCCUCGUGCCCAGUAAACAAUCAGUCAACGCGUCUCCUAAAUAUCCGCCCUAUGAAUAGGAGUCUAAUUCGUUCCAAGAACAUCUUAUAAAUAGCCAUCUACGUACAGAGGGCAAGGUACAACACCUUUUCUCCAUAUUCGUCAUCCUGAACUUCAAGCCUUCAUUGUUGCUGGUCAUCUGAUCUGCCCGGUAAGAUCAGUGGCGCUGUCUGUGGAAACUCUAGCUCCCCCGUUCCUCUUUCUUGCACCUUCUUGAUCCAUUCUUGCAUCCUGCAAGAACCCAGGAACCAAAGCUUUAACCAAAUCAUUACUCAUGGCCGGCAAUAACGAAGAUCCCUCGUCAUUAGACGCUCCAAUUCUUAAGAAAAACGACAUCUCCGUCGUUCCUCCUUCCAGAAACACCGUUCCUCGAGACGGUGUCACAUCAUCCCCUUUUCCUAAAGAUCUCCAAGAUGAUCAAUCUCACCGCUUCGAAGAUACAAGCGGGAAGGACACCCACGAAGAAAAUCAAGGCAACCCUUUCCUCCCAAAAGGGCAGAUUCCUCCGGACCAGACCAUAAACGCUGUUCUAGCUGCUCUUGCCCAGACCAAUGCGCUCUUGCAGCAGCAAAGUAACUGAAUCGGGGCCCUCAAACAGAAGCGCCGUUCAAGAACUCCCCCCGAUAACAAAACUCAUUAUCGAAGCGAAAUAUUGACCAAGAAACUUUCACGUUUCCCUUCUCCCAAGAAGAAUGGGGAUUCCUCUUCCAAGAAAGGAUCGAGCGAUCAGCAUUCCCGCCACCAUUCACAGUCCCCUCGGCCAAGAAGGAAAUCUAGAUCACCCCCGGGAAAAUACAACGACAAACGGAGGCGACGCAGGCGUAGCUUGUUCCCGACCACCCUGUAACGCCCGGAAAUUCGAUUAUUCGCUUAAUCUAGACGUUUAGAGUGUUUAGUGAAGUUUUCGUAUUUUGAGAUGAUUUAGUCGGUAUUAGUUCGGGAUAGCGGAUCGAUAUUUAAUCAAGAGUUUUGAUAUUUUCAGUAUUAGAAAUAUUAAUGGAAUAAUAUUUGAAGUUUUGAGAAUUUUCUGAGUAAUUAAGAUUAGACCGGAAAUAUGAUAUAUUCGUCGAAUUUGGAUUGUCUGUGUUAUUUAAGAGCAUAUUUGGAAUUAUUAAAUUGAAGUCGGAUAAUCGGAAAAAUAAUAUUAAGAAUAAUAUUAUUUAUAAGUCGGAAUUAUUAUAUCGAUGGAAUAUUAUUUAAAGUGUUAUAAUUGGUUAUUUGAGUUAAUAAUCUUAUUGGGCCUAAGUUGGUUUGUGAAAAUAAAUAAAGAGAAGAUUUAAACACUAAGCCCAAUUGGUUUUAUAUUAGGGUUUUAGAGAUUUAGAAAGAGGAGAGUUGUCAUAAUGAAGGAAACAAGAAUAGAGGAGAAAGAGGCAAGUUUUGGAGAAGAUGAACAAAGCUUGAAGAUUUCCAUCUAUGGUGCCCAAUCGGAAGUGUGAAUCGGAGACCCAUUUGAGUUGCUUCAAUUGAUAAGGUAUUCAAGUAUGAAGAUUUAGUUGCCAUUACUCGAGUCGGUUGUCGCUCUGAUACGUAGCACUCUGGGGGGAACGAUUUAUGUCAUUCAUGAUGUUGUUGUUUAAUUGUGUUAUGUUGGUUGAACAAAAUGAUAAGUUAA